GCCGCUGUGGUGGAAUGGUAGACACGAGGGACUUAAAAUCCCUUGCCUGUAACUGGGCGUGUAGGUUCAACUCCUGCCAGCGGCACCA
rnacentral:tRNA from 1 species